rnacentral:lncRNA from 1 species
GGUCCUGGCGAUGGGGGUGGAGGGGUGGGCAGGACUACCCUGGGGUCAGCCUCAAGGUCUCUAGGCUUAGCGGAGUAAGCCCUUUUGUCACCAAUGCCCCUGGAAGGGCUGAGGGGAAGGUACCAGACACAAGAACCGGCUCUGACAUCCCUCCGCCCAUCCGCCGCCACCACCGAACGGCACAUUCAACCUCAAGGCCACAGCUACUCCCCGGUUCCAUCCCUGCAGUCUCUCAGGCCCCAGUCACAUCCCUCUCCAGAGCAUGCAUGCACCCUCCCCAACCCUGGGCCUAAGGCGCAGGCGUGGGCCAGCCAGCGGCUCCCAGCCUACGAUGGCGGGCUCCCCUCCAGCCCCCACAAACCUCUCUCCAGACACAGCCUCGCCAGACAUCAGCUCUCCUCCCCCAGACCCCCAGGGGCCACAAGGCCCUUUCUGUUUACCCCACAGCAGAGACCAGAGUCUCAUCCCAAGGUGUCUGCCUGCCUGUCUGAGCUGGGAGGGUCUCUCAUUCCUCUCAGCCCCACCCUCCCAAUACCACCCACCCCCACCAGCCCAAAAUACUCCACUCACUUUGCUGCCAUGGCAAGGGGGUACUGGAAGCCAUACUGCUGCUGGGCGGAGGGGGUGGCGGAGGCUGCUGCUGCUGCUGCUGCCAUGGGGGAAGAGGACCAGAGGGAGGGGGCGGAGGCUGCCCACUGGGAGGCGGCGGCGGCGGCGGCAUCAUGCCCAUAG